rnacentral:lncRNA from 1 species
UAAGAGAUCAAAUCAAGAUAAAAUAACAAUAUAAAGAUCAAAUUGAAAUAAAUACAAUGACAUCGCUUUACAGUAACAUGUGGUACUAUCAAUGCCACGUUCGCUUGACACAUGACAACAACAAAAUUAAUAAUUUUAGUACUUCUUUAACCAUAUUAGUACGAAACAAACAACAUAAACUUGACUGUUUCAAUUUUUCAAAAAUAAAAACUCAAUUAAG